CUCAUUGUUUUGCAAAAAAAUUAGUCAAUAAGGUCAAUCUAUGCAACAAUGUGCCUUUUCUCAAAUAAUGUUGUAUAAAUGUUAAUUUGUUUAAUCUUAUUUUAUCAUUAGAGAUGUGAAGUUUAUUAUCAUUUUGUUAUUCGCAAGUCAACAAUCAGUCGAAAUUCCCUUAAUUGGUGCAAUCUAAUUUCAAUUCCAAGUGUAUCUUACAAAGUCUUGGCUCAACUUAUACCAGGCAACUCUAGUACCAUUUUGAAUUGCCAUUGGAAAUCUGCUAAAUAGCAGACUUAUUCAAAUAUUUUUAAUAAAUUUGCCUGACAAUCAUUUAUUGAUACUUCUAUCCAAGGUGAUUACAAUUUAAAUGAAGGUUAAUUUGUAGUCAAGAUCAACUGACGAGAUGUGCGAUAAGGAAAAGUUUAACUCAAUGUCUUUGUUGCAGCUUCUCUCAUUUCGUUUAACAUGAUGUAAAAUUGAUUAUAUUGAUUUCAGUCUAGAAACAAAUCAUCAAUACUAUUCAAGUCAAUGAUUAAAUCAACCACCGAAGAAAUCUUUUACCGAACAUCUUGAUUGGUUUAUCGAUGGAUAUUAAAUAAAAGUGCAAAACCAAGAUUGUAAACAACCAUUCAAAGGCAAAGCAACUUUAAAUCAAAAGAUAUUCUCAAGUUAUUAACUGUUUGGAAGCUUAAUGAUCGAUAUAAAUAAGUAUCAAUAACAGUUGAACAUUCAACAAUUAUCUAUUAAAUUAUUACGAUCUACAGCAACAAUAUCAGCAGGGAUAAAAACUAAUUUCACACCAGGAUAGCAGAAUACUUGGAAAUAUGUUGUCUUAAUAUUGAUUUGGAGGUGUUGAUAUCAAAUACUUGCAUUACAAGAAAGACAUAAAUAUACAUAAUUAUAUUACCCGUUCGCUAAUUCAGUAAUUUUCCGGAGAGCAAUUAUGGUGAUGUGUUCAAAUCCAAAAUUUGGGAAAUUAUUGCCUGAUUAAAACAUUUCUCAUCCAGCUGUUUAUCAAUUAGAUUACAAAAGGUUAGAGCAAAUUAUUGUUGCUCGUGAUCGAUGUGGCACCAUGUGGCCGAUCAAAAUCUUAUCAGUUUUAAAGGACGGAAACAUUUCCAUCACAGACUCUUUGGUUCGAGAAAUUCAGAUGAUUCGAAUGGAUAAUUUCAUCUUGAAUCUUGAAAUGGUAUUGUCUCAUUACGAGUAGCAAGAAAGCUAAAAUUGAUGGUUAAAUUCCGAGGUCCCCAAAACAAUUAUAGUGAUGUGUUCAUAAGCCGCAAAAUUAUGGUUUGAUUCGUUGAAGAUGUUUCAGUUGACAAUUAAUGGUGCAAAUUGAUUAUCAAAUCAGAUUAAAUCUUAAUGGUUUAAACAAUGUCAUUUUCAAUCGUAAAGGAUUGGCAAUUUGAAUCACAAUUUAUCCUUGUAUUGGCUGGUCAUUGAAAAUGUACUAAUGAAAGACAAUGAAAAAGCAUAAGAAACGGAAAGUUGAUUAUUUAAGGGAUGUCUUUUCAUUUAUCUGUUUCCAUGCUAAUUCCCAAACCAGAUUGAAGGAUUUUUAAAGUGUUGCUUCGGUUUUGGCUGUUCAGCUACUCACCUGGACAAUUAAAUACAAUAAAUGCAAAAUUAAACGGAAAUCCGAGCCUUGAUUUACCAGUAAUUAAACAAAGGAUGUCUUGUUUACAAUUAAAUGUGUUCAUUU